AAGGCUUCAGCACGACCCAGUCAGAACUAUAAGUCUCAAAGCCCCGACGAGUAGGGUGGCGUGCCGGUGCGCGUUGAAGGCCAAGACGUGAGUCAGGCUGGAGCCGCCGGUAGUGCAGAUCUUGGUGGUAGUAGCAAGUACUCUGGUGAACCAACCUGGAGCUGUGAGGUCUGGAUUAGGGUUCCAUGUCAACAGUGAUUGAACAUGGGUGAGUCGAUCCUAAGCCAACUGUGAAAGCAGUGACAUCCCGACAAAGGGGCGAAAGUGUGGUGCACUUACACCCCCAAAGCAAAGUUGCUAAGCUCUCUCUCUCUGAGGAUAUGGUGAUUGGUUACGCAAUACAAGCGCACACACGAUGAUCACUCUACUAAACACGUGUGAGAGUGUGUGCGCUGUCUGGUCUGGUCUGGUCUGGUCUGGUUACGCAAUGCAAGCGCACACUCACAAGUGUGAGUGUGUGCGCGCUAUCUGUUCUGGUUACGCUCAUAAGCGUUGAUGCUACUAUCUUCUUAAAGAUAAGGCACAAAACGAGAGAGAGAGAGUGGGUGAGCGUGAGUGCUGUUUCUGCAUGGGCCUCCUGCGUCUGGUUCUAUGUCUGGCGAAAGGGAAUGGGGACUUUGUUCCUUGACCGGUCCUGGCACCCUCGAUUGGCUCCGCCAAUCAAUGGUCCAUGCAAAUGGAACCAGGCCACAGCCGUCGGCAGUCGCCCGAGGAAGAGUUUUCUUUUCUGCUUAACGCACGAGGUCAUUCCUGGAAACAGUUCGGCUGGCGAAAGGGUGCCCCGCUGCGGCAGAGCGCCACGACUGUCGUGCGCGUCUCGGUGUUCCUGCUGGUCCGUGAAGACGUGGUCGAGGGGAAUGCACACUUGUAUCAACGAAACGCCUGACAAGUUCGGGACGGACCGUACCCUAUAUCCGCAUCUGGUCUCCAAGGUUCGUAGCCUCUGCAGAGUCUGACACAUGUAGGUAAGGGAAGUCGGCAAACUCGAUCCGUAACUUCGGGAAAAGGAUUGGCUCUGAGGGCCGAGCUGGGCCGGGCCUUGCCUGCAAAGCAGUACCUAUAGUGACCGGAGUUUCAGGAGUGCGAGGGGCUCUAGUAGCUGCUUGUGCGUGUGUGCGUUCGCUCGUGCACGCGUGUGGGCACGAACGAGUCCACCGCUCCGCUCCAACCACGAACGGCUGUGACGGCAAGGGCUCUGGGCGGGAGCGAUCGAUCCGUUGGCCCCCAGCGUGUCUGGGUGGCGGCGGUGCUCCGUCUGACCCAUACGGCUCCAGCGGCUAGCGGCUAACUCAGAACUGUCAUGGACCAAGGGAAUCCGACUGUCUAAUUAAAACAAAGCGUCGUGACGGCCCCUGUUGGGUGAUGACGCGACGUGAUUUCUGCCCAGUGCUCUAA
rnacentral:rRNA from 1 species